rnacentral:rRNA from 1 species
AACGCUGGCGGCAGGCCUAACACAUGCAAGUCGAGCGGAAACGAGUUAUCUGAACCUUCGGGGAACGAUAACGGCGUCGAGCGGCGGACGGGUGAGUAAUGCCUAGGAAAUUGCCUUGAUGUGGGGGAUAACCAUUGGAAACGAUGGCUAAUACCGCAUAAUGCCUACGGGCCAAAGAGGGGGACCUUCGGGCCUCUCGCGUCAAGAUAUGCCUAGGUGGGAUUAGCUAGUUGGUGAGGUAAUGGCUCACCAAGGCGACGAUCCCUAGCUGGUCUGAGAGGAUGAUCAGCCACACUGGAACUGAGACACGGUCCAGACUCCUACGGGAGGCAGCAGUGGGGAAUAUUGCACAAUGGGCGAAAGCCUGAUGCAGCCAUGCCGCGUGUAUGAAGAAGGCCUUCGGGUUGUAAAGUACUUUCAGUUGUGAGGAAGGGGGUGUCGUUAAUAGCGGCAUCUCUUGACGUUAGCAACAGAAGAAGCACCGGCUAACUCCGUGCCAGCAGCCGCGGUAAUACGGAGGGUGCGAGCGUUAAUCGGAAUUACUGGGCGUAAAGCGCAUGC